AUCCUUCUCUAGGGGUCAGCCCUGUGACUGAGAUCAACGUCCCUUCUCCGGUGAAGGCCAUUCUUGGCAUUCUCGUCUGGUGGUGAUUUCUCGCCUCUUAAAUACAACACUUUUCUUUUAUCUUAUCUGAGUCCUUCCCUUCCUCCUAAUAUCCACACUUCUCAUUUAUUUCUCCCCAAAACCUCACCAACCUUAAUACUUGUCAUUUCUUUCCCACCCUCUAUACAAUGACAGAUUUGGAGGUAACUAUAUCCGACCUCAUUAACAAGACCUAUAGUCUUAACUGCAAGGAACCAAUCCUUCAUCUCACUACAACCCCAAAUCAAAAUGAUACUACCCAUAAGACGAUUCUUGCAGGAAAGCUCUUCUCACACAAAAUACUUAAUGCAAA
rnacentral:misc_RNA from 1 species